GAACCUGCGGAAGGAUCAUUGUCGAAACCAAACGGAAAAGACCCGCGAACGUUCGAACGAAAACGCUAAAAGGCGGGGCGGUGCUUCGCUCCCUCCCGUCCUUUUUCUCCACAUAGCAUGGCUGUCCCCGUCGGACGGACGAACGCUGCGUUCCGAAUCGACCUUCUAUCGCUCCGAUCGGCGGGUUCCUUGUCAUGCUAGACAAACGACCACACGGGCGCAGGUUGCGCCAAGGAAAACGAAAGCAAUAGGCUCGCCCUCCAAGGAUGCGCUCGCUUUGGCGACGCGGGAUGGCGAUGCCGUCAUCGGCAUAUGAUGACUCUCGGCAACGGAUAUCUCGGCUCUCGCAUCGAUGAAGAACGUAGCGAAAUGCGAUACUUGGUGUGAAUUGCAGAAUCCCGUGAACCAUCGAGUCUUUGAACGCAAGUUGCGCCCGAUGCCACUUUAGGCCGAGGGCACGUCUGUUUGGGUGUCGCACAUUGCAUCACCAGCCAAAGAUCCCCCCCUCGGGAUGCGCAGGUGGAGUGUGGCCUCCCGCGACUUGGGGUCCGAGUUGCGGUUGGCCUAAAUGCGAAGGUGGGACAGUGGAUGCCGUGAUAGUAGGUGGUUGGCGAGGCCCUGACGACGGCACACGGUUGCGACGACUUUUCACGGUUCCCCCGUCCCAACUUCGUUCGUUUUGACCCUAGGGUGCCGUAGGAACCGGCAGCAUGCGGUGACCCCAGAUCAGGCGGGAUUACCCGCUGAGUUUAAGCAUAUCAAUAAGCGG
rnacentral:rRNA from 1 species